UACGAAGGGGCUAGCGUUGCUCGGAAUCACUGGGCGUAAAGGGUGCGUAGGCGGGUCUUUAAGUCAGGGGUGAAAUCCUGGAGCUCAACUCCAGAACUGCCUUUGAUACUGGGGAUCUCGAGUCCGGAAGAGGUGAGUGGAACUCCGAGUGUAGAGGUGAAAUUCGUAGAUAUUCGGAAGAACACCAGUGGCGAAGGCGGACUCACUGGUCCGGUACUGACGCUGAGGUGCGAAAGCGUGGGGAGCAAACAGG
rnacentral:rRNA from 1 species